rnacentral:ncRNA from 1 species
AUGAGUAACGAAAAAGGAAUAUCCUCGCCUUAAGCUUAUGGUAUUUUAUUUAAUUUUCGGUAUCUAAAUUAUUAAUCAAAAGGUAAUUUUGAUGAUAUUUUUAUACAAUUAUUUAAGUAAAGAACAAAACCUUUAUUAGUAGUAAAGGUUCUGGAAAAUUUUUUACUUAAAAUAUAAUUGAUAUAUACCGUACCUAAAUACUAUCGCAAGUAAGCAAGUAGAGUAUACAAAGGCGUUUGAGUGAACAAUCAUUAAGGAACUCGGCAAAUUGACUACCGUAACUUCGGGAUAAGGAGAGCCAUUUUCAUUAGUUUAACUUGGUUUUUAACCAAGAUUUUAUUAAACUAGUGAAAAGAGGAAGCAUGGAAUAAUGUUGUACGACUGUUUAAUUAAAACACAGCACUCUGCAAAGAUUAAAUAUCAAAGUAUUGAGUGUGAUGUCUGCCCAAUGUCGGCUGGGUAACGGAUUUAUCUUAGUUUUUAACUAAG